UACAGAGGUCUCAAGCGUUGUUCGGAUUCAUUGGGCGUAAAGGGUGUGUAGGUGGCGCGCUAAGUCGGGUGUGAAAUUUCGGAGCUUAACUCCGAAACUGCGUUCGAUACUGGCGUGCUUGAGGACUGGAGAGGAGACUGGAAUUCAUGGUGUAGCAGUGAAAUGCGUAGAGAUCAUGAGGAAGACCAGUGGCGAAGGCGGGUCUCUGGACAGUUCCUGACACUGAGGCACGAAGGCCAGGGGAGCAAACGGG
rnacentral:rRNA from 1 species